GCCCCCUUGGCGUAAUUGGAUAGCGCACCGGACUUCUAAUCCGGGGGUUGCGGGUUCAAGUCCCGCAGGGGGUG
rnacentral:tRNA from 1 species